rnacentral:rRNA from 1 species
GCACAACGCGAAGAACCUUACCCACCUUUGACAUGGCAGGAACUUACCAGAGAUGGUUUGGUGCUCGAAAGAGAACCUGCACACAGGUGCUGCAUGGCUGUCGUCAGCUCGUGUCGUGAGAUGUUGGGUUAAGUCCCGCAACGAGCGCAACCCUUGCCAUUAGUUGCUACAUUCAGUUGAGCACUCUAAUGGGACUGCCGGUGACAAACCGGAGGAAGUGGGGAUGACGUCAAGUCCUCAUGGCCCUUAUAGGUGGGGCUACACACGUCAUACAAUGGCUGGUACAAAGGGUUGCCAACCCGCGAGGGGAGCUAAUCCCAUAAAGCCAGUCGUAGUCCGGAUCGCAGUCUGCAACUCGACUGCGUGAAGUCGGAAUCGCUAGUAAUCGUGGAUCAGAAUGUCACGGUGAAUACGUUCCCGGGUCUUGUACACACCG